rnacentral:rRNA from 1 species
GCUUAGAAGCAGCCAUCAUUUAAAGAAAGCGUAAUAGCUCACUGGUCGAGUCGGCCCGCGCGGAAGAUGUAACGGGGCUAAACCAUGCACCGAAGCUGCGGCAGCGACACAAAGUGUUGUUGGGUAGGGGAGCGUUCUGUAAGCCUGCGAAGGUGUACUGUGAGGUAUGCUGGAGGUAUCAGAAGUGCGAAUGCUGACAUAAGUAACGAUAAUGCGGGUGAAA